rnacentral:misc_RNA from 1 species
UCUAGACAUAUUUUGGGAAUUCUUUAAAUUAAAUGGUAAUUCCUGGAUUCUGAAUAUCCAACUUUUAGAUGUCUCAUCGAGGUUAUCUGGUAAAUCUACAUUGGCAGCUGAUAAAUUCAGCAGGUAAUGAUGAAUGGUCAUACAAUUAGCAGAGGACAAUUUUUUUAUCGUUCUUUUUUCCCAUCCCUCUGUUUGUUGUUUUUAUACUCAAUUUUCUACUGGUCCUGUGAGAUAUUUUGGAUGAUUAAAUCUUAUAGUUGCGAAAUUUAUUCAGUGUAGUCCAGUUGUUAACUGGUGUUAAGAAACUUGGAUAAAAUCUAAUGUAAACAUCAAACAGACUCCAUGUGGCCCAUGCUUUUGCUUUGUUCUCACAUGUUAGAAUAGACAAUGUCUUAGAUUUUACAAGAUAUUUUAUCAUAAUCUUUCUUUGUUUUAAAUAACAUAGCUAGUUCUAAUUUGUAGAAGGCGCCAUAAACUUGAUUGUCUAUGUGCCAUAUGUGUUCUAAAGCACUGUAGAAGAGAGUGUGAGGAGAA